GGGAACAUUACUCUCAUGUGUUUGGAUAUCCUCUGCAAACCCGAGUUAAGAAUGUUUUAUUCAGCCCCAUGGUGGCAUUCCUUGACUUCUGUAGAGCUGUGAUUUAAAAGCAUCAACCUCCUGCAAGGAUCUUGUCCUGCUCCUGUCUGUCACUCCAGUCUGCCUCCAGAAUUCAAGCAUUUCGUUCAAUCUCUGCACCUCUAACCUGCCAGCUCCCCCAGCCUUGCUUGUCAGCUGGACCUUAUUCCACGGCCGUGCAGAAGCACCCGGGGCAUCAUGGCAGAGCAGCUCGCUUGUCCUCCCCCUGCCCUGGCUCAGCAGGCUCCUGGUGGUGCUGCAGGCAGUGAGAAGCCCAUGCUCUGUGGGAGAGAAAGCCAGCAUAAGAGGGGAGACAACUCAGAAGGCACAGCCAGACCCGGAAUGUGACACAGGUGGGAGCGUCGGGACACAACAGCUGCUCUGCAGAGAAUGAUCCCAAGGGAAGUGCCUUCCAAAGCAGUUGUGGCUCUAAAGACUAAAGAAAAGACUUGGCCCUUCUUCUCCCCCAGCCUCUUUCUAGGUAUUUUAGACUGGCAAUAAACAGCUGGAAAAACCCCAGAGUGGUUUGGGUUCAAACCAAUCCCCUAAACCAUCCCCAGAAUGGUUUAGGUUGGA